AUUGAACGCUGGCGGCAUGCCUUACACAUGCAAGUCGAACGGUAACGGGCCCUCGGGUGCCGACGAGUGGCGAACGGGUGAGUAAUGUAUCGGAACGUACCUUUCAGUGGGGGAUAACGUAGCGAAAGUUACGCUAAUACCGCAUAUUCUGUGAGCAGGAAAGCAGGGGAUCGCAAGACCUUGCGCUGAUUGAGCGGCCGAUAUCAGAUUAGCUAGUUGGUGAGGUAAAGGCUCACCAAGGCGACGAUCUGUAGCGGGUCUGAGAGGAUGAUCAGUCACACUGGAACUGAGACACGGUCCAGACUCCUACGGGAGGCAGCAGUGGGGAAUAUUGGACAAUGGGGGCAACCCUGAUUCAGCCAUGCCGCGUGUGUGAAGAAGGCCU
rnacentral:rRNA from 1 species